rnacentral:rRNA from 1 species
AGUGAACGCUGGCGGUAGGCCUAACACAUGCAAGUCGACCGGCAGCACAGGAGAGCUUGCUCUCUGGGUGGCGAGUGGCGGACGGGUGAGGAAUACAUCGGGAUCUACUCUGUCGUGGGGGAUAACGUAGGGAAACUUACGCUAAUACCGCAUACGACCUACGGGUGAAAGCAGGGGACCUUCGGGCCUUGCGCGAUUGAAUGAGCCGAUGUCGGAUUAGCUAGUUGGCGGGGGAAAGGCCCACCAAGGCGACGAUCCGUAGCUGGUCUGAGAGGAUGAUCAGCCACACUGGGACUGAGACACGGUCCAGACUCCUACGGGAGGCAGCAGUGGGGAAUAUUGGACAAUGGGCGCAAGCCUGAUCCAGCCAUACCGCGUGGGUGAAGAAGGCCUUCGGGUUGUAAAGCCCUUUUGUUGGGAAAGAAAUCCAGCUGGCUAAUACCCGGUUGGGAUGACGGUACCCAAAGAAUAAGCACCGGCUAACUUCGUGCCAGCCGCCGCGGUAA